UUGGAGGGCAAGUCUGGUGCCAGCAGCCGCGGUAAUUCCAGCUCCAAUAGCGUAUAUUAAAGUUGUUGUGGUUAAAAAGCUCGUAGUUGAACCUUGGGCCUGGCUGGUCGGUCCGCCUCACCGCGUGCACUGAUCCGGCCGGGCCUUUCCCUCUGUGAAACCCCAUGGCCUUCACUGGUUGUGGCGGGGAAGCAGGACUUUUACCUUGAGAAAAUUAGAGUGUUCAAGGCAGGCCUAUGCUCGAAUACAUUAGCAUGGAAUAAUAGAAUAGGACGCGUGGUUCUAUUUUGGUGGUUUCUAGGACCGCCGUAAUGAUUAAUAGGGACAGUCGGGGGCAUCAGUAUUCAAUUGUCAGAGGUGAAAUUCUUGGAUUUAUUGAAGACUAACUACUGCGAAAGCAUUUGCCUAGGAUGUUUUCAUUAAUCAGGAACGAAAGUUAGGGGAUCGAAGACGAUCAGAUGCCGUCGUAGUCUUAACCAUAAACUAUGCCGACUAGGGAUCGGACGAUGUUAUUUUUUGACUCGUUCGGCGCCUUACGGGAAAC
rnacentral:rRNA from 1 species